rnacentral:rRNA from 1 species
UACGUAGGGACCUAGCGUUGUCCGGAAUCAUUGGGCGUAAAGCGUGCGCAGGCGGCUUUGCAAGACAGAUGUGAAAUCCCCGGGCUUAACCUGGGAACUGCAUUUGUGACUGCAUCGCUGGAGUGCGGCAGAGGGGGAUGGAAUUCCGCGUGUAGCAGUGAAAUGCGUAGAUAUGCGGAGGAACACCGAUGGCGAAGGCAAUCCCCUGGGCCUGCACUGACGCUCAUGCACGAAAGCGUGGGGAGCAAACAGG